GGUUGUGACUCAGUGGUAGAGCACUUGCCUAGCAUGUGUGAGGCCCUGGGUUCAAUCCUCAGCACCA
rnacentral:tRNA from 1 species